AGUCUCACUCUGUUGUCCAGGCUGGAGUAUAGUGGCAUGAUCUCAGCUCACUGCAUCCUCUGCCUCUCGGGUUCAAGGAAUUCUCCUGCCUCAUCCUCCACGUAGCUGGGAUUACAGAUAAACUCAGAUCCCUCUACUUUCCAAGUGUGAGAAGAUUUUGUUCUACAGUCGCUUCUGUGAGAUCACCACAGCCCUGGCAAACCAAGAGGGAGGAACCUUGUGCCUUUGAAGUGUGAUUCACAGUGCUUGAUAAAGUGCCAGUAUUCUCUAAAUUUUAGGUUCACAGCAAAUUGGAUGGAAGUUACAGAAAUUCUUCUAUUUUUAAUUUUAAACUAACAUACGACAAAAGGAUUUCCUGAUUUAUCCACCAUUUCAAAAAAAGGUCCUAAGAAAAUGAAGGAGCCUCUUCCUGUACUCAUGGUACAUAAGGUAUUUCAGUAUUGUACACAUAAAUAGCAUACAUCUUCUACCACGAGCCGAGAAUUCCUUGGCAAAUCCUCCUCAUUGAUAAUAAUUUUGAUUAUGUCCUUAGGUCGUGUGCUAAAUAUUUUUCACAUCUUAUCACAUUUCAGCCUUGCAGUAAUCCUAAAGGUAGGAUCAUAAGCCCCAUUUUACAGGUGAGAAAUGAGACAGUUUUUGCUUGCCCAAAUUUAUACACACAUGUAUCUCUUUGACUCCCGAGCCUGCGUCCUUCUCUAUAUAUCAUAUAGACGUCAACAAUAGUUGUUUUCCUCAAGGGAGUAGUCUCCUCAGAAAUUGAAAUCAUUGGUGCCAUAAGCAAUACCGAAACGGGAAAGGUUCCCUUGUCCUCCCUUGCAGGACGUGUGAUGGGGUAGUGGUUGGCUUCUUCAGUGCCCUGCUGGUGAAACCUCUAGGGGAGUGUACAGAUGGGCAGGCUGUGGGGCUCCGAUCCCAGGGCAGUGUCUAGGGAUGAAUGUUCACAGCUCCUCAAGCCCCAGUGGGCGAGUGCUACCAUGUGCUCUUUUAGUUUAGCUGUCUACAGGCGACUUGUGUUAAGCAGCUCAGUUAGACCCUCUACCUUGUCACAAGGACAGAGGGCUCUCUUUAUCCCAGAGUUCUUGCCUUGGUGUACUGGAAGAAUUGGUUGACACCUGGGUUUGGAGAAUGAGUGCAAGGUUUUAUUGAGUGGAGGUAGCUCUCAGCAGAUGGGGGAAGGUGGAAGGGGAUGGAGUGGGAAGGUUUUCCCCUGGAAUCGGGCUGCUCAGUGGCCCGAGCUCUCUUCUGACUGCCCCGCCCAACUCUGCUUCAUUCCCCGGGUGGAUGGCUUACCCGCGUGCCGGUGUCUGUCUGGGCGUUCCUCUUGACAUUCAGCCACCCACGUGUUCCUCCACUGAUGCGCUCCUCUAUACGUCCAGCCACCUGUGUGUCUGCCGGCUAGGGUCUCCGAGCUUUUAUAGGCCCAGGAUGGGGGCGUGGCAGGCCAGUGUAGCCUUGGGAAAUGCAACGUUUGGGCAGGAAAAUAAAAUUGCCUGUCUUCACCUAGGUCCGUGGGCAUAGGCCCCCGGGUUGGAGCCCUAGGCAGGGACCACGCCCUCCUCUACCCGGACUUCCCUGGCUUAUCAUUUAAAGGGACCCGCCGUAUCAUUUAAAGGGACCACACCCUGCCCUUCCCAGCACUUCCCUUCUAUAUCAAUACCUACCCACUGCAGCAUCCUUUUAUCUCUAACUUCACUGUGAGGUGGCUACUGUGGGACGUUGAAAACUUUUGGCUGGAGUGGCCAUUUUGUCUUUUGGCCAUGCUUGAGAUCUUUUUCAAAGACUCAGAAAAGUAUCCGUUCCUUCUAAAACAUUGUCGUCUAUUCCUGAUUCAUGCCAGAGAAACAGAAUUUCCAAACAGACAAGUAAAAAAGUACAUUGGAAUGACUUCAUGCCUGGGUUCCUGAUUGUUCUCGCAGAUGACAUCCUACGACUGUCUCACCACACAUUAUUUUUUGACUCAUUUUCUCUAACCUAAGUAUCUCCGGCAACCAAAUUUUAGUAACUUCCCCAAGGCAACCUGAGGUUUGGAAACCAAGGGGGCCGUUGCAAGUCUUUUGUGGACUGAGGCAUGCAACCACAGAGCUAAGGUCAGACCCCAUUAAGAUGAGGGGAGGGGUCGAGAGAGAGGAGGAGUGGAGAGAGCUUCGUGCCUUUCCAUUGUACUGGAAUUUAACUGGAAUGACUGAAGGCAAUUUCUUUUUAAAAUCCUUCCCCCCGUCACCUCAUUAACACCUCCAAUGAAAGGCAGCUGUGAGACUGUUAACUCUUUGCUUGCACAUUCUUGAAAGUGCUAUUGGCUGGGAUCUCUGGUCCUUGUGAGAAGAUACCCUGCUGUCACCAAUCUGGGCAUCUGUAGCUUGAAAUCAGGGUUUUUCCAAGAUUCAUAUUUAUACCCCAAUAGUGUGCCAUUCUAUAGAGUGAGACGUGCAUUUCUGCCAGGUUUCGCAUAUUUUGAGCUACUACUCCAUAAGCUGCAGUAUGUUGGGUUUUUUGGAACUUGGCUGCCUCAAAUUCUUUUUGGAAAUAAAAUGAGAGCGUAUGUGAACAUUC